CUGUUUUAUCAAAAACAUUUCUUUAAGAAGUAAUUUAAAGUAAAGCCUGCUCAAUGACAAGAAUAAAUAGCCGCAGUAUUACUGUGCUAAGGUAGCAUAAUAACUUGCUUCUUAAUUAGGAGAUCGCAUGAAGGGUUAUACAUUAGGAUCCUGUCUCUUUUAACCAAAUAAACUUAAGUAAAAAGUAAAAACUCUUUUAACCAAAGCGGGACGACAAGACCCUGACAAACUUAACAUUUAGUUGGGGAAACAAAAUAAUAAAUAUUUAUUCAUAACUUAAACAUAACUUUAAAAUAAAAACAAGACUAGUUACUGCAGGGAUAACAGCGUUAUUUCUUUUAAGAGCUCUGAUCUAAAAAGAAGAUUACGACCUCGAUGUUGAAUUAAUUCCGCUAUACGGGUGCAACAACCCUAUAAGGUAG
rnacentral:rRNA from 1 species